rnacentral:rRNA from 1 species
CCUACGGGGGGCUGCAGUGAGGAAUAUUGGUCAAUGGACGAGAGUCUGAACCAGCCAAGUAGCGUGAAGGAUGACUGCCCUAUGGGUUGUAAACUUCUUUUAUAUGGGAAUAAAACGUUCCACGUGUGGGAUUUUGUAUGUACCAUAUGAAUAAGGAUCGGCUAACUCCGUGCCAGCAGCCGCGGUAAUACGGAGGAUCCGAGCGUUAUCCGGAUUUAUUGGGUUUAAAGGGAGCGUAGGUGGAUUGUUAAGUCAGUUGUGAAAGUUUGCGGCUCAACCGUAAAAUUGCAGUUGAAACUGACAGUCUUGAGUACAGUAGAGGUGGGCGGAAUUCGUGGUGUAGCGGUGAAAUGCUUAGAUAUCACGAAGAACUCCGAUUGCGAAGGCAGUUCACUGGACUGCAACUGACACUGAGGCUCGAAAGUGUGGGUAUCAAACAGGAUUAGAUACCCCUGUAGUC